AGGGAUAUCACUCAGUGGUAGAGCAUAUGCUUAGCAUGCACUAGGUCCUGGGUUCAAUCCCCAGUACCUCUA
rnacentral:tRNA from 1 species